rnacentral:lncRNA from 1 species
GUCUUUUUGCUACUUCUUUGGGCCGCUCCUGCGGCAUAUGGAGGUUCCCAGGCUAGGGGUCGAAUCGGAGCUGUAGCCGCCGGCCUAUGCCAGAGCCACAGCAACGCGGGAUCCGAGCUGCGUCUGCAACCUACACCACAGCUCACAGCAACGCCGGAUCAUUAACCCACUGAGCAAGGCCAGGGACCGAACCCGCAACCUCAUGGUUCCUAGUCGGAUUCGUUAACCACUGCGCCACGACGGGAACUCCUAUAACACUCUAUUCUAUCUACAGUGUUAUUCAGGUCAUUUGAGAGAGCAGAAACAAGAGGUAAGCCCUAUCCUAGGUCAAAGAAUAACUGUUCUUGUGUACUCUUAAGUGGUAGAUAAUGUAAUUUGCAGAAUUAACGUGUAGGUUUGUAUCUUUUUUGAGGCAUCAAUGUGAAUACAAAAUGUUACAUGUUCACAUAAGAGUUACUAAGGCUAGCCUAUUUCUCAACAUCCACACUACAAUAAAUGGCCAUACUGCCCAGUGAGUAUGGGCAGCUUAGAUCUCCCAGCAUUUAAAGACUUCAUCUGAUUACAGGAUGAUACCAGAGAUUAUGUGAUAAUAAAACAACCAACUGACAAUAUCUCUGAGUAAACUUGUGUUCAGAGGGACUCUGAGUUCAUACCUAAAAAGGAAUUCUGUGACCGAUUAUGGGUAAUUGAGAAUGUCAGCACACAUGCCUUAUACAUACUUAAAAUAGCAGAAGGGAUUUUCUUAACCCUUAAAUAAAGGUUGAGAUUCAGGGCUGGCAUUAGGAGAUUUGGCGGAAUGUGAUCCCAGGGAGCAACUGUGAUGGCAAAGAAAGUGACCAGGGAAUGAGAGAAAACCAGUACAAGAAUGCACCAUUGAGUGGGCUGUUGCUACUAAUGCCUGGCACUUUAUUCCAGGGGAGCCUUAGGAAAUGUAUCCCACAAUUAUUCACUAGGGAAACAAAGAGGGAACUAUUCAUUUAAAAGUUCCCUCCCCAGUCAUUCGAGGGAGGGUCCACAGACACCAACUCCUCAGCAUUUCCAAACUGCCUACCUGGGCACUGAGUGGGUCUUGGGGAAUCUCAGCUGCCAGUUUCCGAGGAGUCCCAGGGGAGGAGGUGAGAGCAGGUUCUGAGAUGCAGUGCUGUCAGGCUGAACUGUGCAAAGCUGAUCAAAGUCAUCACAGCAGUGAGUAGAGGCAGAGGUGGGACUAGAAAGAGAUGAAAUCAUGCUUAAAAGCUUGUCCAGUACCGUUCCUAUCAUGCCCACUCUUUGGGGUCUUAUUCUCAUAAUGAUUCAUGCUCAGUGGUUGAACAAAACUCCAUUGAAUUCCACCUAUUCAAAGAAGAAUACAUUCAAGCUACGAUCUUCUCAAAAACCGUAUUUCCUGGACCCACAUCAGGCAAUAUACUUCAGAUUUGAAUUUGUUCACUGAACACAGUGAAUCAUGCUGCCCAGCCUGAGAACACAACUGCUACAGAGGCAACAAGUUCAAUGAAAAAAAAUUACAGUGUCAACAUACUAAUAAAAUGAGGAAUUCUCAUCAUUCACCAUACAGUAUUAGCCUAACACAUAGUGAUGAUUAUUUCUGUGAAAGUUAACAUUUCCCAAAAGCUUUUGAGAAACGUACCAACACUAAUGAAGCAUAAAUUGAUAACUUAAGAAGUUUAGGAGUUACUGUUGCGGCUCAGUAGUGACGAACCUGACAAAUAUCUAUGAGGAUGCGGGUUUGAUCCCUGGCCUCAGUGAGCUGUGGUGUAGUUCACAGAUGUGGCUUGGAUCCUUUGCUGUUGUGGCUGUGGUAUGGGCUGGAAAUUGCAGCUCCCAUUCGAUGCCUGGACUGGGAACUUCCAUAUGCUGCGGGUUCGGCCCUAAAAACAAAAAUAAAACAAAACAAAAAGAAAUUUAGGUGUGCCAUAGUGUAUUAAAAUUUCUUUUGGUCCAUGCAUCAUGAUGAGCUUACAAAGGUUGAGACAUCUUUUUUUUUUUAAUUUUGAGAGACAUCAAUGUUUUUUCUUUUAUAGUAGAAAUGAUAAUUUAUACUUCUAUCAUUAGAAUGUUUUAAAAUUUUUAUUAAUCGACACAUCAUAAAUGAGAAAGUGAUUAUGUACCCAUUUCAAUCAUCUAUUUCAGCUUGCUUUGGAAAGGAAAAUAACUGUUUUCUGCUAAUUACAGAUUUAACUUAAGGUUAGCAGAUCUAUAAGCUGUGGUGAUUACAGGGGCCAGAUUUAGAGAUAGAUGGAGCUGAUAAUGUUACCAUCUCUUCCUCAACAUGAUUAAGAUUAUGGCCUCAAGCAGCAGAACACAGAUAAACACAUCAAGGAUUCUGAUAUCCUGGCAGAAUGGACAUCUGAUGUUGGAAACCUGCAGUGCUGCCUCCAGGGCACAGGCAGUUGGUAUCCUCAUCAAAUCUGCGGGAGGCCUCUAAAGGCAGUCACUUCAAUGCUUGCCCCUCCCAGUGGUGCAUGCACAUACACCAAGCAGGUGGGCUAAGCUUAACAACAGCAGCUUAAGACACAGCUGAUGAAGUGUCAGCCCCUUUUUCUUUAUGAGCCUCACCCAGGUUCUCAGUUCAUUAGUCUCCUAAUAAUUAAUUCAGAAUGUUAGAUCUUUCCUCCACACAGAACACAUGGAUUCAUAUUCUAAGUGUGCCAGAGAGAGAGAGAAGAGACAACAUUUAACAAUACCAUGGCACUGUGUUGGUCAGAUGCUGAUUGAUGUGGCCCAUGAUGGAUCAUCAUCAUCUAAGAUGAUUUUCCAAGGGUUGUACAGGAUGAACGAAACAGCGUCUUAUGGAGAAAACGACACCAAUGGGCUGGCCAAUUAGUCAGAGAUAAAAACAGCUCAGGAGGAGAUGUACACAUGGUGCAUCAAGAAGAAGACCAGAGCCUUAAGUCCCCAGUGCCACCUGGCAGUUUUGGGAAUGGUGGCUUCACUGUCCUGUGAAACGGAGCGAGUGCUAGUGCUAAGGACUCAGGGCUGAAAACCUAGGGAAAGGAAAUGGAGCUAAAGAAUCAAAAGAAUAAAACUAACCUGACAGGGAAGGGAGCUAUGCACUCAUCUCAUCUUCCACUCACAGCUGACAUUACUAAUCUCUCAUAAUACCAUCACUGACAAGCACUGAGAGAUCCUAAAAUUCUCAUUAACCCACACUUUUAGGCAGUUAAGUCAUCCUAUUUUUUGGAAGGAAUCAAUGUGUCAUCCUUGAUCUAUGACCAUAUCUUGUAUUAUUCUAAAAACCUCAAAUAUCUUAAUCUUUCAGAAGUUAAGGACAGAAAAGGGUCUUUGCAUAAACUACCAAGAAUCUUUCUUUUUCUUUUAACUGUAACUAAAAGUACCUAUUUAUCGUUUUAGCAUGUUCUGUCUGUGCUUUCCCUUUUCGUGUAAUAAUAAUGCUAACUUAGAUGGUUAUGAUUUUUAUUAUUGUUUAUGAUUUUUAUUUUUUCUAUUAUAGUUGAUUUACAGUGUUUUGUCAAUUUCUACUGUACAGCAAAGUGACCCAGUCAUAUACACAUAUAUUUUUUUCUUUUACAUUAUCCUCCAUCAUGUUCCAUCACAAGUGACUAGAUAUAUAGGUGAAGGGGCUAAGAGUUCAGAUCUUCAUCCAGAGUGCUUGCUGUUUGUCUAUGCUUUACAUAGAGGAAUCUGUCCAUGAUUAAUUUUAAGAAGGUCAAUUGCUUUAAAAAAGAUUUGGAAACCAUGAGAGUAAACUGUAUUUGAAGUCCUUUACUAGCACUCAGAGCUUCUUCAGCCAAGGCUACAGAGAGACUUCCCAGUUUGGCUGAGGCCUUGAGUGCUCUAUUUGAGUUGAAAGCUGUCCUAUCCUGUCCAGCAAUUCUAUCCCUAAAAUUAACAACAUUUUCCAAGUUCACUAUCAGAGGCAACAAGGAAAUUAUACAAUAAUGUAUCAUUAUUUUCUGAUCCUCCAGGCAUUUGUUUUACGUGCUGACACAGGAACAUUUGAUAACUCUCUUAGCUGUCUAACAGGGAAGGGCUAUCAAUUUUUACCAUGCAUCACUGAAUUACCUGGCCUUGCUAUAACCAUCAAAACAAGUUUGAUGAAAUCAUGGCCUUCAAGAGCAUUAAUUUUAUAUCAUUGAAAGGCAUCACUAAUGGUCACUGCUUGGUCUUAGUCUGAGGAAGAAACUGGGGUUAAAAUUCAUGAGCUACUCUUUGUCCUCAGAGUCACAGCUUACUCUUAAAAUUGUGUGUUUAAAUUUCGUGGCAGAUGAAAACAAUGCUAAAAACUUUUCUUGUAAGAGGAAAAAUAUUCCAAGAGAAAAAGAUCUUUACUUUUAAUGGAGAAGGGGCCAAGAGAAAUUGUGCAGUGAGUCCUCCUGUGAUGAUAAGCUUGGGUGCCCUUAGCAUGUCCCAGCAGAAAGAGAGUUACGCUGAGAUAGGUCUUUGCUUAUCAAAGCUUCCUAAGACUCAAUUGUUCAACAAGUAUUUGUUGAGUACCUGCCUUGUGCCUGGCUCUGUGCUGGAUGCAUUGUACAAAUUAUUCAGAGAUCUUCAUAAUCACCCUAUGAUACAAUCACUUUGGGUGGCUCAGGUCAGCCCUUCUACAAGACGAUUGCGUUGAGACAUUACAAACAUUUUUCCUUGUUUAUUGAUUUAUUUAUAGAAUAUCACUCUCCAAAAUGUAAAAUAAAUUUGAAAUCAGUAUGGUAUUGUGAAAGGAGUUCAUACUGGACACACUGUUUGCCCCUGGGAUUGCAGACUGUCUCUUGCUGGUAGAAGGAGUCAUGGCUUACCAACGCUGAGACGAUUGCCUACUACUUACUGCUGUGAGCUUCUGCUCACAUGCUUCUGUUCUGUCCUUCAACAAUGAACUU